rnacentral:rRNA from 1 species
AGUGAAUGCUGGCGGUAGGCCUAACACAUGCAAGUCGAACGGCAGCACAGUAAGAGCUUGCUCUUACGGGUGGCGAGUGGCGGACGGGUGAGGAAUACAUCGGAAUCUACUUUUUCGUGGGGGAUAACGUAGGGAAACUUACGCUAAUACCGCAUACGACCUACGGGUGAAAGCAGGGGAUCUUCGGACCUUGCGCGAUUGAAUGAGCCGAUGUCGGAUUAGCUAGUUGGCGGGGUAAAGGCCCACCAAGGCGACGACCCGUAGCUGGUCUGAGAGGAUGAUCAGCCACACUGGAACUGAGACACGGUCCAGACUACUACGGGAGGCAGCAGUGGGGAAUAUUGGACAAAGGGCGCAAGCCUGAUCCAGCCAUACCGCGUGGGUGAAGAAGGCCUUCGGGUUGUAAAGCCCUUUUGUUGGGAAAGAAAAGCAGCAGGUUAAUACCCCGCUGUUCUGACGGUACCCAAAGAAUAAGCACCGGCUAACUUCGUG